UUUUUUUUGUUUUUGAAACCGCCUGAAUUUUGGAAACUAAUCAAUUCUCUCAAUCAAUUGAAAUCAUUCUCCACUCAAACCCUAAAUCAUUCUUUCAGCCGUUUCUCUCUGGCUUCACUCUACAUCCUCUUCAAAUCAAACUUGGAUCCAUGGAUUAUUUUCAAUGAAGAAUCUAACUGAUGUUGGUAAUACUGAUUCGUUUUAUAGUGAAUCGGGGAUUCUUCCAUCAUUUUCUUGAUUUGAUUAUCCUUAACUUGAUAUGCUUUAGCUGAAUGUUUGAUAUCCCUCUCUAAUUGCGAAGCAUUGAUACGACUCCAUCAUACAUCGAUUUUGUCUUCAUCAUCCUUCGAAACUGAAGCAUCAGUGAGAGUUCAACUAGGUUAGGAUCUACAGGUCGUCUCACAAAGCUAUAUUGAAGCACGACGAAAUUGGUGCCUUCCAUAUGCAUCAGUGGUCGUAUUCUGACAAAAGGCUUCCGGCUACAAGUGGCAGCUCCCGGUGCAUAAAGGCAGCAUUGAGUGUUUGUUUAAUGGUGGAAAUGGAGAAUCUGGCAACCCAAACAACAGAGCCGACUGAUUUAGGGACCAGCUAUGUUAAUCCAGCAAGCACGGUUAUCAUGUUCUUUGUUCCAAUUUGCUAGAUCCAGAGUUUAAACAUUGGCUGAUAUUUAUUAUUCUUGUGUUUAGAGGCGUUGGUGUUGAUUAAGAUAAGAUAAUUUUUAUUGUGUCUAACUGUAUUAACCAUAUAAAAACUUUAUAUAUAUACAGUAAGUUACUACUUGUUUGAUUCUGCUUGAUGAAUAAUGUUGUAUGUUGCUUGACUAGGUUGCUGGACACUUCACGUAUGGUGUAAUGGCAAUUUCGGCUGCCACAUUUGUGUUUUGGAGUACUGUUGGUACACGUAUAUUACCGGUCGCUUUUCAGCAAGGAAGUGCCAUGUCAUUAGCAUUGCAGCUCUCAUGCAUCUGAUGAGCAUUUCGAGCUAAAUUCAAAUGAGAAAUGGUCUGAAACCGAUGUACUGAAGCUAGCUGCUGCAGUAGAAUCCAACACACUUCAUCCAAUUGGGAAAGCUAUUCUGGAAGCUGCCCGGGCUGCUAAAUGUUCUAACGUAAAGGCUGAUGAUGGAACAUUUAUGGAAGAACCUGGAUCUGGUGCCGUAGCCUCUUGUGGGAAGAAGAUGGUUUCUGUCGGUACAUUGGAAUGGGUUAGAAGGCAUGGAGUUGCUGAGAAUCCGUUUAUAGAAACUGAAGAAUUUAAAAAUCAAUCAGUUGUGUAUGUCGGGAUAGAUGGUGUGCUUGCAGGUCUUAUUUAUGUUGAGGAUCAGAUAAGAGAAGAUGCUGCAAAAUCAUUCUUGC